rnacentral:ncRNA from 1 species
GCUAGGGGCGCCUGAAGGCUGAGAAGUACCCUUGAACCUGAUCCAGCUAAUACUGGCGGAGGGAAGCGGCG